GACGAACGCUGGCGGCGUGCCUAACACAUGCAAGUCGAGCGAGUGAAUCUCCUUCGGGAGUGAAACUAGCGGCGGACGGGUGAGUAACACGUGGGCAACCUGCCUCAUAGAGAGGAAUAGCCUUUCGAAAGGAAGAUUAAUACCGCAUAAGAUUGUAGCUUCGCAUGAAGUAGCAAUUAAAGGAGUAAUCCGCUAUGAGAUGGGCCCGCGGCGCAUUAGCUAGUUGGUGAGGUAACGGCUCACCAAGGCGACGAUGCGUAGCCGACCUGAGAGGGUGAUCGGCCAGAUUGGGACGGAGACACGGCCCAGACUCCUACGGGAGGCAGCAGUGGGGAAUAUUGCACAAUGGGGGAAACCCUGAUGCAGCAACGCCGCGUGAGUGAUGACGGCCUUCGGGUUGUAAAGCUCUGUCUUCAGGGACGAUAAUGACGGUACCUGAGGAGGAAGCCACGGCUAACUACGUGCCAGCCGCCGCAGUAA
rnacentral:rRNA from 1 species